AGCUAUAUCAAAGGCCAAUCUUCCUAAGCCGGAACCUGGAACAAGUACACGAAUUUUAGAUCUGUCUAUAGAAUCAGAUGGGAAAAGUGAAUUUAGUUCCUCGAUGAAAGGAGCAUAUGUAGUACGGCGUUCCUCAACACAUUCGGUCGACCAAUCUCUCGCAAUUUGCUUGAGAGUGCUUGAAACUUUUUGCAUCAUAUCAACAUUGACAUGAAAUAACUCAUUUUGAUCGAAAUCACUGCAGAACACAGGAAUGGCUGCGUUAGCGAUUGCUUCAGCAAGCACGCUGUUCUGCUCGAUACAUUGAUCAAUCCUUGAAAGAUGCUUUAAAAAAUUGUUGUCAGAGUCCUGUAAGAGUAAGUCCUUGUGUUCAAAAGACAACCUGCUCAUCGAUUUUCUCUUCUGUUGUGUUAUUGUAUGAGCAUAUUGCCUGUACAAAAAGAACGCGCUUAAAACUUCUUUCAAAACUUUUACUUCUUCCUCAUCAUAUUCCAUAGUUUUUUUUGAUGUUUCUGAGCUCUAUCUAGACUUUAAUAUUUUUAUCAUCUAAGUCGCAAUUUUGGCGUUGUGGAGAAGUUAAACCUCUAACUUGUUGCUUCAUUGAAGUUGGAAGUGUUGAAGAAACCAAUAAGUUAAGAAUAUUAUGGUUAAUAUAAUUAUGUUUUAUGUAUUUCAUUAGCUUUUCAAGUUAUGUUUAUAUCUACUGUGUUUGAUUGCAAUAUUGAAUCAUCUCUGCUGAAAAUCCCUGCAACGCGGUGCCUCUAUGAAAAUAGUGUUUGCCUUUUGCAAAAAUCCCAUAGGUUUUAUUUGGAUAGUUGUCAGACAAUAUUUUACAACAGCAGCCGCAAAGGAAAUUCACCAUGCUUCAACAAUACCGGAACAGCUAAUCUUCUGAAGCAUCGUUAUAGUAGUAUUGUGAGUUUUGUAGAUUAUAAGAAAAUAAUAUAAGAGAAUCUUGGUGCACGCAGUAAUAUCAUACAAUAUUUAUAUUGCAGCUUAUAAACGAGACUGGAAAUACACGUGAAAAGGUAGUCAGGUUAAAAGUUUAACCCUGUGACAUCUGGCUAAUCUUUUAUCCUAUUGCGCAGUUAAAAGCGGGAAUUACUUCUUUUUCUUAUAUUGUAUCAAAAAUUGUUGGCUUCAGUGACCUAAACCCUUGAACAAAAGAAAAAAAACACGAAUUUUCACGGCCGGAAAAACUUUCUGCAACGUUUUACAAAGGAUCUACUAUCAUAGUAAGUAGAAAUUUUGGCUUCUUGACAUAUAGUACUAAGUAAUUUUCAAGUCGAUGCAUCAGUUGACUUCAAUUGAAAGAGCUUGCUAGUUUGUGAUGUUUAUGGCAUUUGAAUUCGGUAAUAUCGCUAAUUUGAUAUGGACUUACGUUUAGCUUUUUAUUCUGUAAAAAAAAUUAAAAUUCAAUGUAGUU